UACGUAGGGCGCAAGCGUUAUCCGGAAUUAUUGGGCGUAAAGAGCUCGUAGGCGGUUUGUCGCGUCUGCCGUGAAAGUCCGGGGCUCAACUCCGGAUCUGCGGUGGGUACGGGCAGACUAGAGUGAUGUAGGGGAGACUGGAAUUCCUGGUGUAGCGGUGAAAUGCGCAGAUAUCAGGAGGAACACCGAUGGCGAAGGCGGCAUCCUGGACCAUUACUGACGCUGAGGAGCGAAAGCCAGGGGAGCAAACGGG
rnacentral:rRNA from 1 species